CCUACGGGGGGCAGCAGUGAGGAAUAUUGGUCAAUGGGAGAGAUCCUGAACCAGCCAAGCCGCGUGAGGGAAGACGGCCCUAUGGGUUGUAAACCUCUUUUGUCGGAGAACAAAACCCGGGACGUGUCCCGGACUGCGUGUAUCCGAAGAAAAAGCAUCGGCUAACUCCGUGCCAGCAGCCGCGGUAAUACGGAGGUGGCGAGCGUUACCCGGAUUUAUAGGGGUUAAAGGGUGCGUAGGCGGUCCGUUAAGUCAGCGGGAAAAUUGAGGGGCUAAACUCCGUCGAGCCGUUGAAACUGGGAGACUUGAGUUGGCGAGAAGUACGCGGAAUGCGCGGUGUAGCGGUGAAAUGCAUAGAUAUCGCGCAGAACUCCGAUUGCGAAGGCAGCGUACCGGCGCCAGACUGACGCUGAGGCACGAAAGCGUGGGGAUCGAACAGGAUUAGAUACCCCUGUAGUC
rnacentral:rRNA from 1 species